AUUGAACGCUGGCGGCAGGCCUAACACAUGCAAGUCGAACGGUAACAGGGAUCAGCUUGCUGAUUCGCUGACGAGUGGCGGACGGGUGAGUAAUGUCUGGGAAACUGCCUGAUGGAGGGGGAUAACUACUGGAAACGGUAGCUAAUACCGCAUAACGUCGCAAGACCAAAGAGGGGGACCUUCGGGCCUCUUGCCAUCGGAUGUGCCCAGAUGGGAUUAGCUAGUAGGUGGGGUAACGGCUCACCUAGGCGACGAUCCCUAGCUGGUCUGAGAGGAUGACCAGCCACACUGGAACUGAGACACGGUCCAGACUCCUACGGGAGGCAGCAGUGGGGAAUAUUGCACAAUGGGCGCAAGCCUGAUGCAGCCAUGCCGCGUGUAUGAAGAAGGCCUUCGGGUUGUAAAGUACUUUCAGCGGGGAGGAAGGGAGUAAAGUUAAUACCUUUGCUAAUUGACGUUACCCGCAGAAGAAGCACCGGCUAACUCCGUG
rnacentral:rRNA from 1 species